CCAGACUCCUACGGGAGGCAGCAGUGGGGAAUAUUGCACAAUGGGGGAAACCCUGAUGCAGCGACGCCGCGUGAGUGAAGAAGUAUUUCGGUAUGUAAAGCUCUAUCAGCAGGGAAGAAAAUGACGGUACCUGACUAAGAAGCCCCGGCUAACUACGUGCCAGCAGCCGCGGUAAUACGUAGGGGGCAAGCGUUAUCCGGAUUUACUGGGUGUAAAGGGAGCGUAGACGGCAUGGCAAGUCAGAUGUGAAAGCCCGGGGCUCAACCCCGGGACUGCAUUUGAAACUGUCAGGCUGGAGUGCAGGAGAGGUAAGUGGAAUUCCUAGUGUAGCGGUGAAAUGCGUAGAUAUCAGGAGGAACACCGGCGGCGAAGGCGGCCUGCUGGACCGUGACUGACGUUGAGGCUCGAGAGCGUGGGGAGCAAACAGGAUUAGAUACCCCCGUAAC
rnacentral:rRNA from 1 species